UUGACCUCAAAUCGGGUGGGACUACCCGCUGAACUUAAC
rnacentral:rRNA from 1 species